rnacentral:rRNA from 1 species
AGAUACCCUGGUAGUCCACGCUGUAAACGAUGUCGAUUUGGAGUUUGUUGCCUAGAGUGAUGGGCUCCGAAGCUAACGCGAUAAAUCGACCGCUGGGGAGUACGGCCGCAAGGUUAAAACUCAAAUGAAUUGACGGGGGCCCGCACAAGCGGUGGAGCAUGUGGUUUAAUUCGAUGCAACGCGAAGAACCUUACCUGGUCUUGACAUCCAUAGAAUUCUGCAGAGAUGUGGGAGUGCCUUCGGGAACUAUGAGACAGGUGCUGCAUGGCUGUCGUCAGCUCGUGUUGUGAAAUGUUGGGUUAAGUCCCGCAACGAGCGCAACCCUUAUUCUUUGUUGCCAGCGAUUUGGUCGGGAACUCAAAGGAGACUGCCGUUGAUAAAGCGGAGGAAGGUGGGGACGACGUCAAGUCAUCAUGGCCCUUACGACCAGGGCUACACACGUGCUACAAUGGCGUAUACAAAGGGAAGCGAAGGUGCGAGCUGGAGCGGAUCUCAUAAAGUACGUCUAAGUUCGGAUUGGAGUCUGCAACUCGACUCCAUGAAGUCGGAAUCGCUAGUAAUCGUAGAUCAGAAUGCUACGGUGAAUACGUUCCCGGGCCUUGUACACACCGCCCGUCACACCAUGGGAGUGGGUUGCACCAGAAGUAGAUAGCUUAACCGCGAGGGGGGCGUUUACCACGGUGUGAUUCAUGACUGGGGUGAAGUCGUAACAAGGUAACCA